rnacentral:ncRNA from 1 species
UAGGCCUUGCGUUGCUUCUUUAUGAGAAGUAAUGGAAGUGCUUGGGCUACACGUCCUUUCGCUACGACAAACUAAUAUCUGUUUGUCAUAAAAUUCAAUCACGACACCUAAUGCGUGAAGUGGUGGUGCAUUCAACUAGGCGAGAGGGCUACUGAGG